UCCACAGUAGCUCAGUGGUAGAGCUAUCGGCUGUUAACCGAUCGGUCGCAGGUUCGAAUCCUGCCUGUGGGA
rnacentral:tRNA from 1 species